rnacentral:rRNA from 1 species
UGAGUACGAGCUGCUACGGCAGCGAAGUGGGUGAUGUCAUGCUUCCAAGAAAAGCCCUAUACCCGUUAAGGCAUGAUGGCCUGUACCCGAAACCGACACAGGUGGGGUGGUAGAGAAUACCGAGGGGCGCGAGGUAACUCUCUCUAAGGAACUCGGCAAAAUGGCCCCGUAACUUCGGGAGAAGGGGUGCCACCGCAAGGUGGUCGCAGUGAAGAGGCCCAGGCGACUGUUUACCAAAAACACAGGUCUCCGCUAAGUCGCAAGACGAUGUAUGGGGGCUGACGCCUGCCCAGUGCCGGAAGGUUAAGGAAGCUGGUCAGCGUAAGCGAAGCUAGCGACUGAAGCCCCGGUGAACGGCGGCCGUAACAAUAACGGUCCUAAGGUAGCGAAAUUCCUUGUCGGGUAAGUUCCGACCCGCACGAAAGGCGUAACGAUCUGGGCGCUGUCUCGGAGAGAGGCUCGGCGAAAUAGAAUUGUCUGUGAAGAUGCGGACUACGUGCACCCGGACAGAAAGACCCUAUGAAGCUUUACUGUAGCUUGGUAUUGUGCUCGGGCUCGGAAUGCGCAGGAUAGGUGGGAGGCUAUGAACCAUUGCUUGCGGGUGAUGGUGAGCCACUGGUGAGAUACCACUCUUUCCGAGCUAGAGUUCUAACAGCCACCCGUUAUCCGGGGGCUGGACAGUAUCAGGUGGGCAGUUUGACUGGGGCGGUCGCCUCCUAAAAGGUAACGGAGGCGCGCAAAGGUUUGCUCAGGCUGGUUGGAAAUCAGCCGACGAGUGUAAAAGCAGAAGCAAGCUUGACUGUGAGACCUACAAGUCGAACAGGGAGGAAACUCGGCUUUAGUGAUCCGACGGUUCUGCGUGGAAGGGCCGUCGCUCAACGGAUAAAAGUUACUCUAAGGAUAACAGGCUGAUCUCCCCCAAGAGUUCACAUCGACGGGGAGGUUUGGCACCUCGAUGUCGGCUCAUCGCAACCUGGGGCUGAAGUCGGUCCCAAGGGUUGGGCUGUUCGCCCAUUAAAGCGGUACGCGAGCUGGGUUCAGAACGUCGUGAGACAGUUCGGUCCAUAUCCGGUGCAUGCGCAGGAAUAUUGAGAGGAUUUCUCCCUAGUACGAGAGGACCGGGAGGAACGCACCUCUGGUGUACCAGUUAUCGUGCCAACUGUAAACGCUGGGUAGCCAUGUGCGGAGAUGAUAACCGCUGAAAGCAUCUAAGUGGGAAGCCCACCUCAAGAUGAGUAUUCCCAUGGGGUAACCCAGUAAGGUCACGGGAAGAACACCCGUUGAUAGGCUCUACGUGGAAGCGCAGUAAUGUGUGAAGCGGAGGAGUACUAAUAGACCGAGGGC